GACGUAGGGGGCCAGCGUUGUUCGGAAUUACUGGGUGUAAAGGGUUCGUAGGCGGUGUAGCAAGUCGGGAGUGAAAUCUCUGGGCUUAACCCAGAGGCUGCUUCCGAAACUGCUGUGCUUGAGUGUGGGAGAGGCGCGUGGAAUUCCGGGUGUAGCGGUGGAAUGCGUAGAGAUCCGGAAGAACACCGGUGGCGAAGGCGGCCUGCUGGGCAGUAGCUGACACUGAGGCGCGACAGCGUGGGGAGCAAACAGG
rnacentral:rRNA from 1 species